UCCGGUAUGGUGUAACGGUAACAUAUGGCCUUUUCAAAUAGAAAUCGGCCGAGCCCAGGGUUCGAUUCCCUGUACCGGAG